CCAAAAGACGACUCCCACGCACGAUCUUCCUCCUCUCUCUUCUCAAAUCUCAGUCUAUCUACAGUUCCUAUGAGCGUCCCCCAUAUCAUCAUUGAUUCGUCUUCAUCGUCAUAAGGCCGAUCUAUCGUUGAAGACUUGAAGCUUUAUGAUGGGUGCACCAAAACUUCAGUUUGGCCAGGAAUUAGAAUAAACAGAGGAGGCCUGUUACUUUUACAUUGACAUAUAUUGAAAGAGGGUUGGUUUUUGUGUGAGAAUGGGUUCAAAUAAGAGAAGUAAGGUGACUGGCUGGAGAGAUUACUUGCAAACAAUUUGUAUGUUCCAAAGAAGGAAAAACAAAUGAAUCUUACGAGAAGACAAGGCGACAGCACUCACUAAACAAUCAAAUGAAACACCACUAAGCAUGUAAAGGAUGAAGCUGAUCUUUCUUCUAUUUUGAUUCAGCAUACUUGCAAACCUUUUGAUAUGUAAUGCAAUGAAUAUCCAUGAAUUUGGGUUGUUUUGCAUGAUGUAUCUUGUAUCUUCUUUUGGAACUUGUACAUGUAUGAAUCCACAUGUUAGAACUUGUAUAACUUUUUUUGCAAUAUGAUUGUAACCUGUGAUUGUGAAUCAAUUUGAAUGUCAGGUAUAUAUUUUAAUUUUUAUCCACC